rnacentral:rRNA from 1 species
UACGCACGCUGGCGGCGUGCUUAACACAUGCAAGUCGAACGGAAAGGCCCUGCUUUUGUGGGGUGCUCGAGUGGCGAACGGGUGAGUAACACGUGAGUAACCUGCCCUUGACUUUGGGAUAACUUCAGGAAACUGGGGCUAAUACCGGAUAGGAGCUCCUGCUGCAUGGUGGGGGUUGGAAAGUUUCGGCGGUUGGGGAUGGACUCGCGGCUUAUCAGCUUGUUGGUGGGGUAGUGGCUUACCAAGGCUUUGACGGGUAGCCGGCCUGAGAGGGUGACCGGCCACAUUGGGACUGAGAUACGGCCCAGACUGCUACGGGAGGCAGCAGUGGGGAAUAUUGCACAAUGGGCGGAAGCCUGAUGCAGCAACGCCGCGUGCGGUAUGACGGCCUUCGGGUUGUAAACCGCUUUCGCCUGUGACGAAGCGUGAGUGACGGUAAUGGGUAAAGAAGCACCGGCUAACUACGUG